UCCUGGCUCAGGAUGAACGCUGGCGGCGCGCCUAACACAUGCAAGUCGAACGGAGUUAUCAAAGGAAGCUCUUCGGAGCGGAAGCUGAUAACUUAGUGGCGGACUGGUGAGUAACGCGUGAGCAACCUGCCUUUCAGAGGGGAAUAACACAUGGAAACGUGUGCUAAUACCGCAUAACGUAUAUUUAAGGCAUCUUAGAUAUACCAAAGGAGUAAUCCGCUGAGAGAUGGGCUCGCGUCUGAUUAGUUAGUUGGCGGGGUAACGGCCCACCAAGACAACGAUCAGUAGCCGAACUGAGAGGUUGAUCGGCCACAUUGGGACUGAGAUACGGCCCAGACUCCUACGGGAGGCAGCAGUGGGGAAUAUUGGGCAAUGGACGAAAGUUCCUGACCCAGCAACGCCGCGUGAAGGAAGAAGGUCUUCGGAUUGUAAACUUUUGUCUUUGGAGACGAACAGAUGACGGUAUCCAAAAAGGAAGCUCCGGCUAACUACGUGCCAGCCGCGGC
rnacentral:rRNA from 1 species